GUCUACGGCCACACCACCCUGAACACGCCCGAUCUCGUCUGAUCUCGGAAGCUAAGCAGGGUUGGGCCUGGUUAGUACCUGGAUGGGAGACCUCCUGGGAAUACUAGGUGCUGUAGGCU
rnacentral:rRNA from 1 species